UACGUAGGGUGCGAGCGUUGUCCGGAAUUAUUGGGCGUAAAGAGCUCGUAGGCGGUGUGUCGCGUCGGCCGUGAAAACCUGCAGCUUAACUGUGGGCUUGCGGUCGAUACGGGCAUCACUGGAGUUCGGCAGGGGAGACUGGAAUUCCUGGUGUAGCGGUGGAAUGCGCAGAUAUCAGGAGGAACACCGGUGGCGGAGGCGGGUCUCUGGGCAGUAACUGACGCUGAGGAGCGAAAGCGUGGGGAGCGAACAGG
rnacentral:rRNA from 1 species